rnacentral:misc_RNA from 1 species
GAUGAAGAACUUAGCGAAAUGCGAUAAGUAAUGUGAAUUGCAGAAUUCAGUGAAUCAUCGAAUCUUUGAACGCACACUGCGCCCCUUGGUAUUCCGAGGGGCAUGCCUGUUCGAGCGUCAUUAUAACCCCUCAAGCUCAGCUUGGUGUUGGGGCCUGCCGCACGGGCAGCCCUUAAAAUCAGUGGCGGUGCCAUCUGGCUCUAAGCGUAGUAAUUCUUCUCGCUAUAGAGUCCCGGUGGAUGCUUGCCAUUAACCCCCAAUUUUCUAUGGUUGACCUCGGAUCAGGUAGGGAUACCCGCUGAACUUAAGCAUAUCAAUAAGCGGAGGA